UACGGAGGUUGCAAGCGUUGUUCGGAAUUACUGGGCGUAAAGGGCGCGUAGGCGGCUUGGCAAGUCAGAUGUGAAAGCCCCGGGCUCAACUCGGGAAUUGCAUCUGAAACUGCCUGGCUUGAGUCCUGGAGGGGGCAGUGGAAUUCCCAGUGUAGCGGUGAAAUGCGUAGAUAUUGGGAGGAACACCGGUGGCGAAGGCGGCUGCCUGGACAGUGACUGACGCUGAGGCGCGAAAGCUAGGGGAGCAAACGGG
rnacentral:rRNA from 1 species